rnacentral:rRNA from 1 species
UGGCGGCGAGUGGCGAACGGGUGAGUAAUACAUCGGAACGUGCCCAAUCGUGGGGGAUAACGCAGCGAAAGCUGUGCUAAUACCGCAUACGAUCUACGGAUGAAAGCAGGGGAUCGCAAGACCUUGCGCGAAUGGAGCGGCCGAUGGCAGAUUAGGUAGUUGGUGAGGUAAAGGCUCACCAAGCCUUCGAUCUGUAGCUGGUCUGAGAGGACGACCAGCCACACUGGGACUGAGACACGGCCCAGACUCCUACGGGAGGCAGCAGUGGGGAAUUUUGGACAAUGGGCGCAAGCCUGAUCCAGCCAUGCCGCGUGCAGGAUGAAGGCCUUCGGGUUGUAAACUGCUUUUGUACGGAACGAAACGGCCUUUUCUAAUAAAGAGGGCUAAUGACGGUACCGUAAGAAUAAGCACCGGCUAACUACGUGCCAGCAGCCGCGGUAAUACGUAGGGUGCAAGCGUUAAUCGGAAUUACUGGGCGUAAAGCGUGCGCAGGCGGUGAUGUAAGACAGUUGUGAAAUCCCCGGGCUCAACCUGGGAACUGCAUCUGUGACUGCAUCGCUGGAGUACGGCAGAGGGGGAUGGAAUUCCGCGUGUAGCAGUGAAAUGCGU